CAGUCGAACGAGUUUCCGGGCUUGCUCGGAAACUAGUGGCGAACGGCUGAGUAACGCGUAGGUGACCUACCCCGUAGUGUGGAAUAACUGCCCGAAAGGGUAGCUAAUACCGCAUGUUGAGCCGACAUCAAUGUCGUCUCCAAAGCAGAAAUGCGCUAUGGGCGGGGCCUGCGUUCGAUUAGCUAGUUGGUGGGGUAAUGGCUCACCAAGGCGACGAUCGAUAGGUGGUCUGAGAGGACGAUCACCCAGACUGGGACUGAGACACGGCCCAGACUCCUACGGGAGGCAGCAGUCGGGAAUUUUGCGCAAUGGGGGAAACCCUGACGCAGCAAUACCGCGUGUGGGAUGAAGGCCUUCGGGUCGUAAACCACUUUUUUCGGGGACGAUAAUGACGGUACCCGAAGAAUAAGCCACGGCUAACUACGUGCCAGCAGCCGCGGUAAUACGUAGGUGGCAAGCGUUGUCCGGAUUUACUGGGCGUAAAGCGCGCGCAGGCGGUGAAUGAAGUCGAAAGUGAAAGCCCCGAGCUCAACUCGGGAACUGCUUUCGAAACCAGUUCACUUGAAGGUGGAAGAGGGAAGUGGAAUUCCGAGUGUAGCGGUGGAAUGCAUAGAUAUUCGGAGGAACACCAGAGGCGAAGGCGACUUCCUGGUCCAAUCUUGACGCUGAGGCGCGAAAGCUAGGGGAGCAAACAGGAUUA
rnacentral:rRNA from 1 species